GCGAUUUCCCAUUGCCAGGGCCUUGGAAGAGCUGGCUGGGUCCCUUCCCAUCCUUUAUUUGUUUAGCUUUGUCUGCUUCUCAGUGGCCUCAAGAUAGAGUGUCGCCAAACAGAUGUAGUCUUGUUCCUCGAAAGAAAAGCUGCCGCCGGGAGGAGGGGACAGGCCCAUCUCAUGGACGCAGUGGCCCGGCUCAGAUUUUCACAGAUGCUGCAUCCCUCUUGAAGCCUUCUCAGGGAAGCCAGUUCUGUCCCUCCUGAUCCUGGCACCCGCUCGGCCUCCUUGUACCACUUGAUCUGCCUUCCUUCUCCAAGAAGUCUCGGGGGCACCCUGUCCAGCUCUGAGUCUCGUCCUAGAUGACCAGGAGGGUCUGCGGGGCCUGGCCAAAUGCUGGAUUGAGAAGCUGGGGCUGUUUGUCCACUUCCUUGAAGGUGGGCUGGCCUGGUGACUGGUGGACCAGGGGGAUGAGGGGGAAGUGAU